AUGAACGCUGGCGGCGUGCCUAAUACAUGCAAGUCGAGCGAACAGACGAGGAGCUUGCUCCUCUGACGUUAGCGGCGGACGGGUGAGUAACACGUGGAUAACCUACCUAUAAGACUGGGAUAACUUCGGGAAACCGGAGCUAAUACCGGAUAAUAUAUUGAACCGCAUGGUUCAAUAGUGAAAGACGGUUUUGCUGUCACUUAUAGAUGGAUCCGCGCCGCAUUAGCUAGUUGGUAAGGUAACGGCUUACCAAGGCAACGAUGCGUAGCCGACCUGAGAGGGUGAUCGGCCACACUGGAACUGAGACACGGUCCGGACUCCUACGGGAGGCAGCAGUAGGGAAUCUUCCGCAAUGGGCGAAAGCCUGACGGAGCAACGCCGCGUGAGUGAUGAAGGUCUUCGGAUCGUAAAACUCUGUUAUUAGGGAAGAACAAAUGUGUAAGUAACUAUGCACGUCUUGACGGUACCCAAUCAGAAAGCCACGGCUAACUACGUG
rnacentral:rRNA from 1 species